rnacentral:rRNA from 1 species
GUCUAAUCUGCCCACUGAAUUAAUUUAAAGGGCUGCAGUAUAUUGACUGUACAAAGGUAGCAUAAUCAAUAGUCUUUUAAUUGGAGACUUGUAUGAAUGAUUUAAUGAAAUAUAAACUGUUUCUAUUUUAAAAUUAGAAUUUAAUUUUUUAGUUAAAAGGCUAAAAUAAAUAUAAAAGACGAGAAGACCCUAUAGAGUUUUAUAAUUAUUUAAUUAUAAUUUAUUUAUAAAAAUUAAUUAUUUUAAUUAAAUAAUUAUUUUGUUGGGGUGAUAGAAAAAUAAAAAUAACUUUUUUUUUUAUUAAACAUUAAUAUAUGAGUAUUUGAUCCAUAAUUUAUGAUUAUAAGAAUAAAUUACCUUAGGGAUAACAGCGUAAUUUUUUUUUUUAGUUCGGAUAAAAAAGAAAGUUUGCGACCUCGAUGUUGGAUUAAGAUAAAAUUUAAACGCAAAAGUUUAAAAUUUUUGAU